UCCGAGUUGUAAUUUGCAGAGGGCGCUUUGGUGUUGGCAGCGGUCCAAGUUCCUUGGAACAGGACGUCACAGAGGGUGAGAAUCCCGUACGUGGUCGCUAGCCUUCGCCGUGUAAAGCCCCUUCGACGAGUCGAGUUGUUUGGGAAUGCAGCUCUAAAUGGGAGGUAAAUUUCUUCUAAAGCUAAAUACUGGCCAGAGACCGAUAGCGCACAAGUAGAGUGAUCGAAAGAUGAAAAGCACUUUGGAAAGAGAGUCAAAUAGCACGUGAAAUUGUUGAAAGGGAAGCGCUUGCAGCCAGACUUGCCUGUAGUUGCUCAUCUGGGCUUUUGCCUGGUGCAUUCUUCUGCAGGCAGGCCAGCAUCAGUUUGGGCGGUUGGAUAAAGGUCUCUGUCAUGUACCUCUCUUCGGGGAGGCCUUAUAGGGGAGACGUCAUGCAACCAGCCUGGACUGAGGUCCGCGCAUUUGCUAGGAUGCUGGCGUAAUGGCUGUAAGCGGCCCGUCUUGAAACACGGACCAAGGAGUCUAACAUCUAUGCGAGUGUUUGGGUGUCAAGCCCGAGCGCGUAAUGAAAGUGAACGGAGGUGGGAACCCUUUGGGUGCACCAUCGACCGAUCCUGAUGUCUUCGGAAGGAUUUGAGUAAGAGCAUGGCUGUUGGGACCCGAAAGAUGGUGAACUAUGCU
rnacentral:rRNA from 1 species